CUGUGAGCUUCACGGUGAAGGAGACUGUGUGUCCCAGGCCGACCCGGUGGCCCCCGGAGCUGUGUGACUUCAAGGAGAACGGGCGGGUGAAACAGUGUGUGGGGACAGUCACCCUGGAUCAGAUCAAGGACCCGCUCGACAUCACCUGCAAUGAGGUUCAAGGUGUCAGGGGAGGUCGCCUGUGCUAUUGUAGGCGUAGGUUCUGCGUCUGUGUCGGACGAGGAUGACGGUUGCGACGGCAGGCUUUCCCUCCCCCAAUUUUCCCGGGGCCAGGUUUCCGUCCCCCAAUUUUUCCGCCUCCACCUUUCCGGCCCGCACCAUUCGGUCCACCAAGGUUCCCUGGUAGACGGUGAAGGAUUUGCAGGCAACUCACCCAGAAGGCCUUUCGGUACAUUAAAAUCCAGCAAGGAGACCUAAGCAUCUGCUUUGCCCAGGCCCGCAUCUGUCAAAUAAAUUCUUGUGAAACCAA